rnacentral:snRNA from 1 species
AUCUGUUCUUAUCAGUUUAAUAUCUGAUACGUCCUCUAUAUGAGGACUACAUAUUAAAUUGAUUUUUAGAACAGGGAGACGGAAGAGGAGCUUGCUCCGUCCGCUCCACGCAUCGACCUGGUAUUGCAGUACCUCCGGGAACGGUGC